rnacentral:misc_RNA from 1 species
GUAGGUGAACCUGCGGAAGGAUCAUUAUCGGAACUCGACGUGCUUCGGCGCUGCGAGAUGUACACGCGAAGGAAACUCGAAACGAUCUCUUCGUCGACUUACGGGGUGAUGCCCGGAGUCCGAAGCGGUCGGGCCGGCCGAGGCGAAGCAUCUUUGCGUCUCGUCGGUUGUAUUCAGUGGAUGUAUUCUUGUAGGCCCGUGAGGGUGCCGUUACGUCGGCUUAAUAAAACGCACUGCAUCGCGGCGUUUG